rnacentral:tRNA from 1 species
CAGUAAAUAGUUUAAAAUUAAAAUUUUAAUUUUGGAUAUUAAAGAUAUAUUAUUGUUUUACUGA